rnacentral:Y_RNA from 1 species
GGCUGGUCCAGGUGUGCUGGUGUUUACACCCAAUAGAUCCCAACAGUUACACAUUUUUGUUCCCAUCCACUUCAUUGCUUCACUUGACUAGCCUUUA